AUUGAACGCUGGCGGCAGGCUUAACACAUGCAAGUCGAGCGGGGGAAGGUAGCUUGCUACCGGACCUAGCGGCGGACGGGUGAGUAAUGCUUAGGAAUCUGCCUAUUAGUGGGGGACAACAUCUCGAAAGGGAUGCUAAUACCGCAUACGUCCUACGGGAGAAAGCAGGGGAUCUUCGGACCUUGCGCUAAUAGAUGAGCCUAAGUCGGAUUAGCUAGUUGGUGGGGUAAAGGCCUACCAAGGCGACGAUCUGUAGCGGGUCUGAGAGGAUGAUCCGCCACACUGGGACUGAGACACGGCCCAGACUCCUACGGGAGGCAGCAGUGGGGAAUAUUGGACAAUGGGGGGAACCCUGAUCCAGCCAUGCCGCGUGUGUGAAGAAGGCCUUAUGGUUGUAAAGCACUUUAAGCGAGGAGGAGGCUACUUUAGUUAAUACCUAGAGAUAGUGGACGUUACUCGCAGAAUAAGCACCGGCUAACUCUGUGCCAGCCGCCGCGGUAA
rnacentral:rRNA from 1 species